rnacentral:rRNA from 1 species
UACGUAGGGGGCGAGCGUUGUCCGGAUUUAUUGGGCGUAAAGAGCUCGUAGGCGGUUCGAUAAGUCGGACGUGAAAUCUCCACGCUCAACGUGGAGGGGCCGUUCGAUACUGUCGUGACUCGAGUCCGGUAGGGGAGUGUGGAAUUCCCGGUGUAGCGGUGAAAUGCGCAGAUAUCAGGAGGAACACCGGUGGCGAAGGCGGGUCUCUGGGCCGAUACUGACGCUGAGGAGCGAAAGCGUGGGGAGCAAACAGG